rnacentral:rRNA from 1 species
GACGAACGCUGGCGGCGUGCCUAAUACAUGCAAGUAGAACGCUGAAGGAGGAGCUUGCUUCUCUGGAUGAGUUGCGAACGGGUGAGUAACGCGUAGGUAACCUGCCUGGUAGCGGGGGAUAACUAUUGGAAACGAUAGCUAAUACCGCAUAAGAGUAGAUGUUGCAUGACAUUUGCUUAAAAGGUUCAAUUGCAUCACUACCAGAUGGACCUGCGUUGUAUUAGCUAGUUGGUGAGGUAACGGCUCACCAAGGCAACGAUACAUAGCCGACCUGAGAGGGUGAUCGGCCACACUGGGACUGAGACACGGCCCAGACUCCUACGGGAGGCAGCAGUAGGGAAUCUUCGGCAAUGGACGGAAGUCUGACCGAGCAACGCCGCGUGAGUGAAGAAGGUUUUCGGAUCGUAAAGCUCUGUUGUAAGAGAAGAACGAGUGUGAGAGUGGAAAGUUCACACUGUGACGGUAUCUUACCAGAAAGGGACGGCUAACUACGUG